CAGCCAUUCAUACUGGCCGUCUGACACUGCAUGCAGGGGAAACACCAAAGACCGCAGCAACCUUCAGCGCAGAAGAGAAGAGAAUAAAUACAUUUAUGAAAAUGUGACUUCAUUAAGAUAUACGGCUUUCAGGGCAAUGACCGCAUUUCCUCGACCACUGUUCCUCCGUCCAUCUGGGGAACAUUGAAGUGCACACUGUACUGUACUGUAGGUUGAAAAAAACAAAGUCUGUGGUGAUGAAUGAGCCGCAACACUGGUGUUGGUCGGGUAAAACUUACAGGUGCCCAUGUCAGAGCAGCAAUCGCACAUGCCGGUGCUCCAGGUCCCACGGCUUUGGGUGUUGGUGGUGGUCACCGUCACCACCUGGGUCGGGCUGUAUGCUGGCUGAGGGGCUGGCUGCUGGUAGACGGCCGGCUGCUGCUGGUAGACGGCCGGCUGCUGCUGGUAGGCGCCCGGCGGCUGCUGGUAGGCGCCCGGCGGCUGCUGGUAGGCGCCCGGCGGCUGCUGGUAGGCGCCCGGCUGCUGCUGGUAGGCGCCCGGCUGCUGCUGGUAGGCGGGGGGCUGCUGCUGGUAGUCGGCCGGCGGCUGCUGGUAGUCGGCCGGCGGCUGCUGUUUGACGUCCAUGGCUGGAGGACACGAGGCAGGAACGAAGAAAACGUUUGGAAGGCGGACGGACAGGAACGGCUCCUGGCACAGGAGAAGAAAGUCACAAGAGUGGCCCGUCGAAGUGUCGCCACCACGAAAUCCAUCCCAGGGCGUUUUUGACUCGUUCACGUGGGCCGCGCUGGCGGCGAAGACCCGAUCUGCUGUGCGAACGGGACGACCUCGAAUUCGCCUCGCAAGAAAGUAAUUUACGUCUCCCGUCGACAAAAUGUGCGGCACGUGGACACCUCGUGCUUCUACUGUACAUCAUUCCUUCCCCAGAGUGAUGACGUAUUAUAUUUCUCCGUCCGGUGUUGAACUUGUUUUGGGCCUGGCCAAUGACACGGCAUUUCCUGUAAGCCUAUUUUAUCCUCCGGCCAUUUUGUUAGCCAAGUUUCUUUUUCUGUGUGUUGAUAUCGGGAUAUAAAAUACAUGUAUUUUUAUCUUGUGUAAAAAACGUCUUUGUUGUAAAAUGCCUUUCAAUGAGCCCCAAAAACAAACAAAAAAAGAUUGAUUUUAAUCAGAGCUGCCAUUUUGUGUGUAAAAGCUUUCCCCCCCUCAUUUCAACGUUAGCAUUAGCCUCUUUGAUGUUUAGCAGCAGCUAGCUCGCGAGAACAUCUGUCAAAUUGCACUUUUUUUUUUUUUUUUUUACAUAGCUCUAACUUAAUAACUUCAUUGAGUUACUUCAUAUUUUCGUGUUUUUUGCGUAACGUACAGCUGAGAGCCAGCUGUUGUCAAAUUAAUUUGCAAAAAUAUUAUUUUUUUUUCGUUUUUGUUUUUUCCCCCCACAUCCUGUUUCUUGGUUUUCUUCUGAACCGGAAAUUUUUUUUUCUUUUUGAAAAAAUGAAGGGGCUUUCACUUUCAACUUCAACAUUCAACUAAUUGACAUUAAUGGCUAAAAAGGCCUGUUUAAUAGGAAUAAUUCAAAAUCCAACUUGUAUUGCUCGAACGGAAGAAAAACAAGGCAAUGAACUCAAGUUUCUGUCUCGUCGAAUAAUAGAACAGAUCAGGUUGUAGUUUUGUUCAUCGUGAUUUUUUUUUAAUCACGAUUCUUUUUUUUCUUUGGAGUUCGCGCGCUCGUGCGGACUUCUCCAAUGUGGCCCCGGUGGGACGACGGUCGCGUCAAAUCGCAUCACUCAAAACGACUAUUACGCUUUAAUAAACGGGCAAAGUCUUCAUAAAAACCAAAAGUCGCGUCUCACCUUCUCCUCUCCGAUGCGACAGGCGACGAUCUCGUGGGGGAAGAGGGCUGCUCUCUCUCUCUCCCUCCCUCUCUCUCUCUCUCUCUCCCUCCCUCUCUCUCUCUCCCUCUCUCUCUCUCUCCCUCCCUCUCUCUCUCUCUCUCUAUCUCUCCCUCUCUCUCUGUCUCUCUGCCUGUCUGUCUCUCUGUCUCACGAACGUUAGUUUCUGUUUCCCAAGAAACCUCCCUCAGCCCAGCCCGGAGGGGGUCGGACGAAUGUUCAACUUGGUGAAGGUAACUUUUCCGCCCAGCACCUCAGUCUGCGCACGACCCCCGACGGCGCACACUGGUCAACAAAGUCAACAAACCUAAAAGUAUAUGUAACACGUCAACAUACUAUAAUGUGUAUAAAAUGCCAGGGACAACAACAACAACAAAAAAUUGGUAACAUUUUUUCUUUCUUUUUUUUAUAUUUUAAUAAUACAUAAGCUCGAGAAAUUAAAAAAAAUCCAGGGUACUGCCGGUGAAUAAAUACCAUAUUCAGAGCAGGAACAAUUUCACUGAACCGGUGGGUCGGUGGUGCAUUCACGUGCUGUCGGACCUUUUUCGUUUAACUUUUGCAUUCAUUGCUGUAAUCAAUCAAUCAAAGCUUCUCUCCAAAUCCCAACUGCAUACUUUAUAUUGUACAUUAUUGUAUAUAGUAUGUGUCUUGUAUAUGGUGUUUGAUCUAUGUAAUGUUGUUUUUUUAAAUAUGUUUUCCCAUGAGCUGUUACGCCUUGUGCUGCUUUGUCGAUUAUGAAUUUCCCAAAAGGGUGAUCAAUACAGGUUUAUCUUAUCUUAUCUUAUCUUAUGGAGACAUCCCUCUCUGUGAUUUACAUUGACUUAUUGUACCACCAGCUUUGUGCACUUGAUGGCGUAAGGUACACAUGAGUUGGUGUCCAUGGUUUCUAUUUGGAUUUAAAGUGAGCAUGAACAUCUCUGUGUGAGAAGCUAUGCAAGAAUUCAUUGAUCAUCCCAUAGAGGAUGAUCCAUUUUCUUAUAUAUGAUGCAUGUGGUUUGAUUGGGGGAAUUGUACAACAUCAAAACAGAUGAGAAAACCAAUCACGCCAUUAGCAGAUUAAAAGUGCCUCUAAUGGUUGUACAGCUUCUAGAGAAACGGUGCAUUUCCCAUUCAGAUAAAGGUAUUUAAGAUUUUAAAUUGUAAUAAAAACAUAAGGCAUGAACCAUGCUUACAAAAUAGGUAUAUAACAAAAGGAGGAUUUUCCAGUUUUAGCUGCUUUCAGCCUGGAAAAUUCACGAUAUCAUUCAUGUAUUGCAUUUCAUUAUAUACAAUAUAUAUGAUACAAUAAACCAAGGCUUUGUAUAUGUGAAUUUGCAAUUUACAAUGUGAGUGUGAUAUUUGGCAAGAAUAAACACAAGAUUUACUUCCUUUUA